rnacentral:tRNA from 1 species
UGGGAUGUGGCUCAGAGGUAGAGCGCUCGCCAAACACGUGUGAGGCACUGGGUUCAAUCCUCAGCACCACAU